rnacentral:rRNA from 1 species
CCUACGGGAGGCAGCAGUGGGGAAUAUUGCACAAUGGGGGGAACCCUGAUGCAGCGACGCCGCGUGGGUGAAGGAGCACCUCGGUGCGUAAAGCCCUAUCGGCAGGGAAGAAAGGCGGGCGGGGCCCGUCUGGACGGUACCUGACUAAGAAGCCCCGGCUAACUACGUGCCAGCAGCCGCGGUAAUACGUAGGGGGCAAGCGUUAUCCGGAUUCACUGGGUGUAAAGGGAGCGUAGACGGCGACGCAAGUCUGGAGUGAAAGCCCGGGGCCCAACCCCGGGACUGCUCUGGAUACUGCGGCGCUGGAGGACGGGAGGGGCAGGCGGAAUUCCAGGUGUAGCGGUGAAAGGCAUAGAUAUCAGGAGGAACACCGGCGGCGAAGGCGGCCUGCUGGACCGUGACUGACGUUGAGGCGCGAGAGCGUGGGGAGCAAACAGGAUUAGAUACCCCUGUAGUC